UCUUUCCCCCGCAGGUACUGAAGAUCAUCUGGAGUAUUAUGUUCAUGAGUGUGGAGACAUCUUAAACCAUCAGCAUGAAGCUACCGGCAGACUCAACAGACGCUAAACACAUUAUGGAGCAUGUCUUUGCACAGGUGUCGGAAUUCAAGAAACUCAACCAAGCGACUGGAGUGCGUCUAUACACAGGGAACGUUGGAGCAGAUGAUGUUGAUGGUGUAGACAUGGCUUACAGGGUAGUGGCUGAUCAUAUUCGCACAUUGACCAUAGCUCUCUUGGACGGAAGCUGGCCAGAUAAUGUUGGAAGAGGAGCGUAUGAAGCACUCAACGUCAAGCAUGAAAAUCUGUCGCUGAUUCAACCCCGAUUCGUGGUGCCCCUGCCUCCUCUUCAACCAGCGGUACUGAAGAUCAUCUGGAGUAUUAUGUUCAUGAGUGUGGAGACAUCUUAAACCAUCAGCAUGAAGCUACCGGCAGACUCAACAGACGCUAAACACAUUAUGGAGCAUGUCUUUGCACAGGUGUCGGAAUUCAAGAAACUCAACCAAGCGACUGGAGUGCGUCUAUACACAGGGAACGUUGGAGCAGAUGAUGUUGAUGGUGUAGACAUGGCUUACAGGGUAGUGGCUGAUCAUAUUCGCACAUUGACCAUAGCUCUCUUGGACGGAAGCUGGCCAGAUAAUGUUGGAAGAGGAGCGUAUGAAGCACUCAACGUCAAGCAUGAAAAUCUGUCGCUGAUUCAACCCCGAUUCGUGGUGCCCCUGCCUCCUCUUCAACCAGCGGUACUGAAGAUCAUCUGGAGUAUUAUGUUCAUGAGUGUGGAGACAUCUUAAACCAUCAGCAUGAAGCUACCGGCAGACUCAACAGACGCUAAACACAUUAUGGAGCAUGUCUUUGCACAGGUGUCGGAAUUCAAGAAACUCAACCAAGCGACUGGAGUGCGUCUAUACACAGGGAACGUUGGAGCAGAUGAUGUUGAUGGUGUAGACAUGGCUUACAGGGUAGUGGCUGAUCAUAUUCGCACAUUGACCAUAGCUCUCUUGGACGGAAGCUGGCCAGAUAAUGUUGGAAGAGGAGCGUAUGAAGCACUCACCUUCAAGCAUGAAAAUCUGUCGCUGAUUCAACCCCGAUUCGUGGUGCCCCUGCCUCCUCUUCAACCAGCGGUACUGAAGAUCAUCUGGAGUAUUAUGUUCAUGAGUGUGGAGACAUCUUAAACCAUCAGCAUGAAGCUACCGGCAGACUCAACAGACGCUAAACACAUUAUGGAGCAUGUCUUUGCACAGGUGUCGGAAUUCAAGAAACUCAACCAAGCGACUGGAGUGCGUCUAUACACAGGGAACGUUGGAGCAGAUGAUGUUGAUGGUGUAGACAUGGCUUACAGGGUAGUGGCUGAUCAUAUUCGCACAUUGACCAUAGCUCUCUAGGACGGAAGCUGGCCAGAUAAAGUUGGAAGAGGGUCAUGAAAUUGUACACAACUUUGUGAGAUAUGCAACUUUGCGUGAACAACAAGCACUCCCCCCUAAACAUAGGUAGGCUGUCCGCCGAAACUCCAGGCCUGGCAUUAGGCCUCUGCCUGGUAUGACUCUGACUGUGAAGCAGAUAGAUCUUAUAUCAAUUAGUCUACUUGUUAGAUGCCAAAAAGAAUAAUUGCAAUAAGCCAUAAGGUAAGUAGGACUACAAUUUAUUGUGUUAUUGUGCUAAUACUGAAUGCCCAUGAUAUCGCAGCUUCGGACGUCGGUACGUACAGUAUCGGCAUGUUCAAGAUUCACCCCCUUAUGGCUGUUGUUCUAGGCUUAUUUUUUGUAUUUCUCAUUUCUUGGCAUUGAUACUGCACAUACAGAAUGCAAAGACAUGCACGAUAAUAAAGAGAGCAAUUAUUGUGCAAAUACUGAAUCUCCAUGAUAUUGCAGCGUCGGUACAGCACCAGCAUGUUUAAGAUUCACCCCCCUUAUGUUUUGUAUUUCUCAUUUGUUGGCAUUGUCACUUCACAUAUCAAAUGCAAAGACAUGUACGAUAAUAAAGAUAGCUUUCCUGACCUAGUAUUUGCAAGGAAAAAUUCAAAAAAGGCAUAUGAAGGCUACGUUAAUGCGCGAAUACAGAAUGUUCAUGUUCAGCAUCCGUAUAGCAUCGACAUGUUGAAGAUCCAGCCCCCCCUUAUUUUUUGUAUGUCGCAUUUGUUGGCAUUGACAUUUACACAUGAAAUGUAAAGACAUAAAACAGCCGUCCUGACCUAGCAUAUACAAGGAAAAAUUCAAAAAAGGUCUCUGAUUGCUGCGUUAUGGUGCAUAAAAGUUGUCAGCGUCACUAAACAUAGGACAUUUUCUAAUCCCCCCCCCCUCUUCCCCCUUAUUGUGCUCCAAUUCUUUGUUCUACCCAAUUUGAUGUUUCUAGUGGUCAAUUCAUUAGAAAUGAGUGGAGCCUAAGCCUACUACUUAGGCCAAAGCUAAGUAGGCCUAGCAGAAACUCACGCCGUUCCGAUUGAGUACAUAUAACGGAGUGACACCUGAAAUCAGAGUAAUCACGUGAUCGGAAUAUUUUACCUCGCCACCAAAAUCCCAGGUGGACCUAGCAGUCCCACAUUACUUUGCGGUGCCUUAGGCAUGAUCGAUGCAAACUUAUUCACAACCUUUUAACCCACUAAAUCGGAGCAGUGUAUUUAUCCGGAUAAUACGCGUAGAUAGACACUGCCCAUUCCCUGGUACUAUAUGCUAUUUUCCGGAAAACAAAUGAACCGGAUAAUUUCAGUAAAACUAAUAGAAACAUGCUGUUUGUGUUCCUUCUUUCUAUCACAAUCUCUUUCUUUCAUCGUGUCUUCAUUUCCUUCUCAAUUGUCAUUGUCCCUUAUAUUACAUUCUCUAUCUCAAAUGUCACUUUUCCUCAUAUUGUUUUCCUCAGAAAAUUCAUGCAAAGGACCUGGAAAAUCUGCAGAAAUAAACCCUAGGACUACUUUGACCAACGGAGGUUGGUGGUUUGGCAGUUGAAGGCUUAAGAAACUUGCUGACCAUCCUGGGUACAACCCCAACAGUCAAUGCCUCUAGCUACGACAGGCACAUAGCCACUUUUAAAUCGAUAUCUCAAGAGACCAGCGAGGAACACAUGAAGAGGGCGGCGGUAUGCCUACAACAAAGGGCAAUGGACAAGGACCCGACCAUCAGGAAAAAUGACCGUGUGGACAUCACUUCUACUACCAACCUAUCCAUUCUUCUUUACUACUUCUACUACCUCCACUACCACCCUAUCCGUUCUCCCUUGCUCCCCUCCCUCUUUCAUUCUCGCCAGAUCUGGCAAUCAUUAAAUAUCUUAAUAUUUCUUACCCCUCCCUCAUCUGUCUUUCUUUUCUCCCUCCUGAAUGGACAAUGCUCUUCCUUACUUUUAUUACUACCUCUGCUACCACCUUACUCUACAACCUUACCUCUGCUCUUCCUUACUACUUCUACUUCCACUUUCCCUCAUCAUGUUCCCUCUUUCUAUAACCAUCUCCACGUUCUCUGUCUUUAUUAUCACCCCCCCCCCCUUUUUUUAUUGCAUUCUCUAUCUCAACUGCCACUUUCCAUCAUAUUGGUUUCACUCACUAUCUCAAUUUCAACUUUCCCUGUGUUUUUGUUCUCUCUCUCUCUCUCUCUCAAGUGCA